rnacentral:rRNA from 1 species
GAGACCUGUAUCCACAAUUGCUAACGACCCAUUUUGGGAAUCGAGCACAUUGUGGGGACUGCCUUGGAAACAAGGAGGAAGGUGCAGGCAACGGUAGGUCUGUAUGCUCCGAAUCUUCUGGGCUACACGCGCGCAACAAUGGUAUAGACAAUGGGAUGCAACACCGAAAGGUGGAGCUAAACCUCGAAACUAUAUCCUAGUUCAGAUUGAGGAUUGUAACUCAUCCUCAUGACGUUGGAAUCCCUAGUAAUCGGAUCUCAUCACAGUCCGGUGAAUAU